GUGUUGCCUUGUUCCUGUUUGAACCGCAUGGUUGCGUGUUAUUCCAUUCGUAAGCGUAUAUUUAGUUGUGUUGGUCAACCUGGUAGAGCAAAACAAGUAGCGCCCAUGGCGUACGGACUGGUUUGACAGUUUAGAUGGAGUGCGGUUUUUGGUUACAUUGGUAUGUAGUCCUAUCGCGUUUGCAGUGCAAUGUUAUAGUGUCGCGUAAUUUGAAUAAUACUGUUUUGAUCAACUUAAAAAAGUGUUACAAAUUGCAUAUUUUAAAAAAUCAAUAAAAUGUGUUCAAGUGUCGCGAGUUGCAGUACUGGGUGCGCGGAGCAGUAAAGCAGCGAAUCUGUAAUGGAUACAUUGAUUUGUGAUACUUUGUCAGGAGUGCAAUCAAAUUAUAGCCCAUCGGAGAAGAACCCUGAUUUUAGGUUCAGAGGAGUUUUGUGAUUUCGGAGUUUUGGAGUGUGAGUACCAAAUUGGAAAAGAAAAUGAAAGUGAAACCCAGCUUAGCAUUCCGAAUAGUGACUAAUAACCAAGUAAAUUUAACUUAACUUUAACAUAACGAUAUGUGCAUUAUAUGCUUCAUUAUGGAUACAGUCCCAGAAGUUGAUAGUCGUAGAGUCUUCAGUUUUGCCGAGAUGAGUGGAAUAGACACAUACACGUCUGGAUAUUAUUCAUUCCUGUUUUUAAAACUUGUCAGUUUGACCGGUGUGUGGUUAGAAACUGUCGAAUUAGGGUUGCAUUCAUGUUCCUGAUUACGUGUAGAGAACUCGUUGGUUAUUGAAUGAUUCCGUUCAUAUUUUCUGAAGGUGUUUAAAAUUUGGUGUAAAGUUAUAGUGGUUGUGAAUAUUUUCAUACUGUGUUACAGUAUUUGCAGUUGUUUGUGAAUUCGCCAGUAUAUCCAGAAGAAUGGUAGAAGUUUGAUAGUGGAAAGGAUGGGGAGCCUGGCUGGGCCGCCAUGAGCGAGCUGCAGGCGACAGUGGAGUUCUCCGUGGAGCUCUACAAGUUCUACAACGUGGAUCUCUUCCAGAGAGGGUACAGUGUCUAUCAUGCCAAGUAUAGGUUGCCUGUUAUUGCUAGAACUCUUGAGUUUUGUGGUUUUGGGGACAUCAGUUCUUAGAAUUUUAAUUUAGAUACCAAAUACUAGAAAUAUGGCAGGAGGCAACCUUUCCACGGCCUCUUCAGCAAGUUUCUUGCCUCUGCAGCAUUCAUGACUGAUCUGCCGAAUGCAAAUCUACAGAGAUGCUGCCACACCAGCCUGGUAGGACGAGAUGGAUGCUUCCCAGAGCAUAUGUAGAUGACAAAGAAAUAUAUUAUAUUUGCUUUUUGCUCCUUC